rnacentral:rRNA from 1 species
AUUGAACGCUGGCGGCAUGCCUUACACAUGCAAGUCGAACGGCAGCGGACCUUCGGGUGCCGGCGAGUGGCGAACGGGUGAGUAAUAUAUCGGAACGUACCUUUCAGGGGGGGAUAACGUAGCGAAAGUUACGCUAAUACCGCAUAUUCUGUGAGCAGGAAAGCAGGGGAUCGCAAGACCUUGCGCUGAUUGAGCGGCCGAUAUCAGAUUAGCUAGUUGGUGAGGUAAAGGCUCACCAAGGCGACGAUCUGUAGCGGGUCUGAGAGGAUGAUCCGCCACACUGGAACUGAGACACGGUCCAGACUCCUACGGGAGGCAGCAGUGGGGAAUUUUGGACAAUGGGCGCAAGCCUGAUCCAGCCAUGCCGCGUGAGUGAAGAAGGCCUCGGUUGUAAG